rnacentral:rRNA from 1 species
AAAGCGGGUGUAGGUGGCUCUCUAAGUCAGAAGUGAAAGCCCCAGGCUUAACCUGGGAAGUGCUUUUGAUACUGGAGAGCUUGAAUGUGGGAGAGGAUCGUGGAAUUCCAGGUGUAGUGGUGAAAUACGUAGAUAUCUGGAGGAACACCGGUGGCGAAGGCGGCGAUCUGGCCCAACAUUGACACUGAGACCCGAAAGCGUGGGGAUCAAACAGGAUUAGAUACCCUGGU